rnacentral:rRNA from 1 species
GAGAGUUGCUGCAUGGCUGUCGUCAGCUCGUUUUGUUAAAUUUUUUUUUAAGUCUCGCAACGAGCGCAACCCCUAUCGUCUGUUGCCAGCAUUAAGUUGGGCACUCUGACGAGACUGCCUGGGUUAACCAGGAGGAAGGUGGGGAUGACGUCAAGUCCUCAUGGCCCUUAUGUCUAGGGCUACACACGUAAUACAAUGGCGCGUACAAAGGGAAGCGAACUCGCAAGGGGGAGCAAAUCUCAAAAAGCGCGUCUCAGUCCGGAUUGGAGUCUGCAACUCGACUCCAUGAAGUUGGAAUCGCUAGUA